rnacentral:rRNA from 1 species
AGAAAUUUAUCCUUAAGCUCCUCAAUAACCAUUUUCCUGCUAACUAAAUUCAUGGUUAAGGUUGCAUAAUGAUAUGCAACAAAUGUAUAACAUUUCCUUUACCAAAAAAAAUAAACAAAAGCGACCGACAAAAGCAUCGGAUUACGGCAGG